rnacentral:rRNA from 1 species
AUGUAUAAAUGGCUGGAAAAGCCUCUUCAUGGAAGCAACUAUAGAUGGAUCUGGGAGGCGAAAUUGCCUCUUAAGAUACAGAUCUUCUUAUGGCAGAUGGCACAAGACGCGGUGCUCACAAGAGCGGUGAUGAGGAGGAAAAAAUGGCCGGGGAACCCUGUGUGUUCCUUCUGUAACAAUAUUGAAACUACGUCCCAUCUGUUCUUUACGUGUCCUGUGGCGCGUGUUGCCUGGAGGGCAGUUGGAGUUGUGUUGGGGACUGACUUAUGCCCAAAUAACACCUGGCAAUUCUAUGUGUGGUGCAAUAUGUUCCUACCCAAUGAAACUAGAUUCUAUACUGUUGGUCUGGCAGCAGUACUUGGGCUAUUUGGCUUGUGCGCAAUAAGGCUACUUUUGAAAAACAAUUGA